rnacentral:lncRNA from 1 species
AGCAGAGCAGGAGCCUAGUGGCUGAGGUGCCACCGAGGCUGGGGACUGAACCCAGAUCUCCAGGCCGAGUCUCACUGCGCCUGCUGCACCGAUCUCUGCGCUUGCUCCUGCGAGGCGCCGCACUGCCUCAGCCGCCGCCCCGGAGACUGGCAGCGGAGAAGGCUCGGAGGUCGCUGGCAGAGACCGGUCGGCUCAAGUGGGUGGCCUCGGGUGAAGCGGAAGGACAGCGUCCUGGCGGGGCGCAGCCAGGGUCGUGGCCAGACUCCAGCUCCCCGCCCGGGGAACGAAGCCGGCGACGUUGUGGAAUGGUCCGGCGAGAAACGAGGAGGGUCCGGAGCGCACCGGCCACCCACCGGCGCCGAGGCUCGAGGCUCGGAGUCCUGCUCCUUGAGCAGCGCUGCGCAGCCUGCAGCAGACUGUACAGCACCUCCGGGCAUCACCUGGGGCUUCCUUGGCCUUUCUGUGACACUACAAGGACCCUUUCGGGGUGCUGAAGUAGGGACUCCAUCUCCAUCUCUACUUUAUUUUCACAUUUGAGAACCUGUUGAUGGGAUGGAUGAAAAUGCUGAAGUUGAUCACAGUGCUGAGAAUAUUCUUGAAGAUAAAUGGAAGAACUGUUAUGUGCAACAAAUCGGUCAGCUGUCUUUUCUGCCUGUACCACUUGGAGGGAAAAAAAAUCAGAAGGACUCUUUGCUUCCUCCUUCUGGAAGGAGUUGAGCUAAAGGACAAUCAGAUUCUGGGGUCUUCCUGGGACUUUCUUCUACUGGUGACGUGACUGGAGCAGGAGGAAGACCCGAGCUCAUGCCUGAGCUGAAGUCUUGCCUUUCUUCAGCAGAAUUGCAUGCAGAUUUCAGUUUCCAGCAUCCCUUGUGGCUUUCUGGUAAGAAAAUGGUUGAACUACAGGACACUCUUGGAAAGCAGGGCCCAUGUGGGUAGGAAAUGUCGAGCAGAAGAAAGGAGCUCUUCAUGGGUCCUGUGACUUCGAGUCAGUUGCAGUGGUGUCUAAGUCCCCAGGACACACAGAGCAAAUGUCAGUAGUAGCAUUCAGUGAGAAUGGCCAGCAGGAUGAGAGGGGUGAGCUUCGUCUCUCUCAGCCUCCUUUGAAGUCUGCCCUGUAAAUGACUCCCUUUUAGUACCUUCUGUGGUAUUGGCAGAGAAGUACUUCUUGAUGGAUUAAAUUCGUUUUGCAUUUGCAGCUGUAGCUCAAGAGAGAAAUGCAAGUUUGUAAGCUGGGUUCCUAAAAGGGAAUAAAGUUAUGCCUGUGGGCUGCAUCCACAAGAUCCCAGCUCUCUGAAAAGUCUGGGAUGCAUAUAUCUUUGUACCCAGUGGCAAAUGCCCAGAUGUUUGAUCUGAUCGGGAUAAUGUGUCACCUGUCUCCUUAAUGCUGUUUUUUACAUCAUGUUAUGCAGGCAGUUUCAGCCUCCUUUGAACAGUGACUAGCAAAGGAUCAGAUCUGUAUUCUCCUCUAUCUUGUUGGGUUGAUGGGAGGUUGGGCGAGGCCAUGGGUACUGGGGGAGACUUAUCAGUACUGUGUUCCUUUCUACUGUUUUGCCAGCUGUUCAGCUGGGUCUGUCCCUCCUCCUGAAAGUCUGGCAUGUGUGGACUCUCCAAACUUGGGGGAUGUGAUGGCUAUCAUGGCGACUUACUAAGGUUUUGAGGCCUUCCCAGCCUCUCUGGUAGGCCUCACAGCCGCGCUUUCCUCAGUCUGCCCUGUGCCAGGCUUUGUUCUAGCUGGGGUCUUUGGAAGGGAGAUGGCUUGCAGAGAAAUGCCAUCAAAUAUACAUUUGCUGCCUGCUUAGUUCCCUGGAUGCCAGGACGCACAAUGCCCACCCAGAGGGAGCAUGGCACUCCUACUCCUGUUAUUUCCUAGGGCUCAGCCCUGGCUCAGUGUGGCUCCAGGAAUCAGAAGGCAUCUUUCCCUUCUCACCCUGCAGGACGGCGGCCUGGGAAGCACAGCAGGCCCUCUUGGCUUAGGGCCACUCCCACAGGGCCCAUCUGCAGCCCCGGACAGCCUGUCUCCUUGCUUUGGGAAAUGGCUGAGCUUUAGCUUUGAGCCUUUUGCAAGGGCAGCUGUAACAUGGGUUUAGAUACAACUGGAGUUUAAAGUGCA